AUACAGAGGGUGCAAGCGUUAAUCGGAUUUACUGGGCGUAAAGCGCGCGUAGGUGGCUAAUUAAGUCAAAUGUGAAAUCCCCGAGCUUAACUUGGGAAUUGCAUUCGAUACUGGUUAGCUAGAGUAUGGGAGAGGAUGGUAGAAUUCCAGGUGUAGCGGUGAAAUGCGUAGAGAUCUGGAGGAAUACCGAUGGCGAAGGCAGCCAUCUGGCCUAAUACUGACACUGAGGUGCGAAAGCAUGGGGAGCAAACAGGAUUAGAUACCCUGGUAGUCCAUGCCGUAAACGAUGUCUACUAGCCGUUGGGGCCCUUGAGGCUUUAGUGGCGCAGCUAACGCGGUAAGUAGACCGCCUGGGGAGUACGGUCGCAAGACUAAAACUCAAAUGAAUUGACGGGG
rnacentral:rRNA from 1 species